GACGAACGCUGGCGGCGUGCCUAAUACAUGCAAGUAGAACGCUGAAGAGAGGAGCUUGCUCUUCUUGGAUGAGUUGCGAACGGGUGAGUAAAGCGUAGGUAACCUGCCUUGUAGCGGGGGAUAACUAUUGGAAACGAUAGCUAAUACCGCAUAACAAUGGAUGACACAUGUCAUUUAUUUGAAAGGGGCAAUUGCUCCACUACAAGAUGGACCUGCGUUGUAUUAGCUAGUAGGUGAGGUAAUGGCUCACCUAGGCGACGAUACAUAGCCGACCUGAGAGGAGGAGCGGCCACACUGGGACUGAGACACGGCCCAGACUCCUACGGGAGGCAGCAGUAGGGAUUCUUCGGCAAUGGGGGCAACCCUGACCGAGCAACGCCGCGUGAGUGAAGAAGGUUGUCGGAUCGUAAAGCUCUGUUGUAAGUCAAGAACGGGUGUGAGAGUGGAAAGUUCACACUGUGACGGUAGCUUACCAGAAAGGGACGGCUAACUACGUG
rnacentral:rRNA from 1 species